AUGGCACAGCUCGGGUCUGUCAUUCUUGAUUGUUCAUUUGGUUCGGGCAAAUCUCUCUUUAGGCUGCACGAACGUGACAAUUUUGUAGACAACAGGAAGAAUAUAGAAAAUGCCAGGAAAGGCUCACGCCCCUGGCUUUAUUCUGUCAAGCAAUUUUUGAUAUCAUUUAUUCUGCAAAACACACUGUACAAAUGUUCUAUAAUUCCAGCGAGAAGUUAUUGGCAGAUUGAGUUUAGUGGAAUUGUUAUGUUAUCUAAGAGGGUGGAGGGAAGCAGCUUCUCUUAUGUUGUUUGGGAUAUUUUGGUACAAAAAAGAUAUAUUGAGCAGUGCAUCAAUGCAUCACGAAGAUGA
rnacentral:rRNA from 1 species